ensembl:lncRNA
CUUUCGGUCUGGCAGCUGUAGGAAAAUGUAGCACACCCAGAGCAGAAAUUCUACUUCAGUAAGAUCAGGCCUGACAAGAACAUGCGUUUCACAGGCCUUUGUAAGUGAUGUUCCCGGUAGGCUGUGGUAGCAUUGUUCAGUGUCGGCUGUUCCUUAGCUUCCCAAAGAGCUGUAAGCAAGAUGUAUGGGGCCUCUCUCCCACUUUGGAAACAAGGCAACCCUUUGGGCCUGGCAGCUCUAUGCCAAUGUAGCACACCCAGAGCAGAAGGUCUGCUUCAGUCAGAUGGGGCCUGCCACGAAACUGCAUUUCACAGGCCUUGGUAACAGAUGUUCCAGGUAGGUUGUAAGAGCACUGGGCAGAGCCACUUGUUUCUUAGCUUCCCAAAGAGCUGGAAGCAAGAUGAUUUGGGGCCUCUCUGCCCCUUUGCACAGGGCAGCCCUUUCGGCCUGGCAGCUCUAGGCCAAUGUAGCACACCCAGAGCAGAAGUUCUAGUUCUGCCGGAUAAUGCCUGCCAAGAAACUGCGUUUCACACGCCUUGGUAACAGAUGUUCCAGGUAGGUUGUAAGAGCACUGGGCAGAGCCAGUUGUUUAUUAGGUUCCCAAAGAGCUGGAAGCAAGAUGCUUCGGGGCCUCUCUGCCCAUUUGCAAACAAGCCAGACCUUUGGGCCUGGCAGCUCUAGGCCAAUGUAGCACACACAGAGCAGAAGUUCUACUUCAGCCAGAUCGGACCUGCCAAGAAACUGCGUUUCACAGGCCUUGGUAACAGAUGUUCCACAUAGGCUGUACGAGCACUGGGGAGAGACAGUUGUUUCUUAGCUUCCCAAAGAGCUCUAAGCAAGAUGCUUUGGGGCCUCUCUGCCCCUUUGCAAACAAGGCAGCCCUUUCGGCCUGGCAGCUCUAGGCAAAUGUAGCACACCCAGAGCAGAAAUUAUACUUCAGUAAGACCAGGACUGGCAAGAAACUGCGUUUCACAGGCCUUUGUAAGUGAUGUUCCCGGUAGGCUGUGGUAGCAUUGUUCAGUGCCAGUUGUUCCUUAGCUUCCCAAAGAGCUGGAAGCAAGAUGUAUGGGGCCUCUCUCCCCAAUUGGAAACAAUGCAGCCCAUUGGGUCUGGCAGAUCUAUGCCUAUGUAGCACACCCAAAGCAGAAGCUCUGCUUCAGCCAGAUCAGGCCUGCCAAGAAACUGCAUUUCACAGGCCUUGGUAGCAGAUGUUCCAGGUAGGUUGUAAGAGCACUCGGCAGAGCCACUUGUUUCUUAGCUUCUCAAAGAGCUGGAAGCAAGAUGCUUUGGGGCCUCUCUACCCCUUUGCAAAGAAGCCAGCACUUCGGGCCUGGCAGCUCUAUGCCAAUGUAGCACACCCAGAGCAGAAGUUCUACUUCAGCCAGAUCAGGCCUGCAAAGAAACUGCGUUUCACAGGCCUUUGUAAGAGAUGUUCCCGGUAGGCUGUAAGAGCACUGUGCAGAGCGAGUUGUUUCUUAGCUUCCCAAAGAGCUGGAAGCAAGAUGCUUUGGGGCCCAACUCGCCCUUUGGAAAGAAGCCUGCACGUUGUGCCUUUCAGCUCUAGGGCAAUGGAGCACACCCAGAGCAGAAGUUCUACUUCAGCCAGAUGAGGCCUGCAAAGAAACUGCGUUUCACAGGCCUUUGUAAGAGAUGUUCCCGGUAGGCUGUAAGAGCACUGUGCACAGCGAGUUGUUUCUUAGCUUCCCAAAGAGCUGGAAGCAAGAUGCUUUGGGGCCCAACUCGCCCUUUGGAAAGAAGCCUUCACGUUGUGCCUUUUAGUUCUAGGGCAGUGGAGCACACCCAGAGCAGAAGUUCUACUUGAACCGGAUCAGGCCUUCAAAGAAACUGUGUUUCACAGGCCUUUGUAAGAGAUGUUCCCGGUAGGCUGUAAGAGCACUGUGCACAGCGAGUUGUUUCUUAGCUUCCCAAAGACCUGGAAGCAAGAUGCUUUGGGGCCCAACUGGACCAUUGGAAAGAAGCCUGCACGUUAUGCCUUUCAGCUCUAGGGCAAUGGAGCACACCCUGAGCAGAAGUUCAACUUCAGCCACAUCAGGCCUGCAAAGAAACUACGUUUCACAGGCCUUUGUAAGAGAUGUUCCCGGUAGGCUUUAAGAGAACUGUGCAGAGCGAGUUGUUUCUUAGCUUCCCAAAGAGCUGGAAGCAAGAUGCUUUGGGGCCCAACUCGCCCUUUGGAAAGAAGCCUGCACGUUGUGCCUUUCAGCUCUAGGGCAAUGUAGCUCACCCAGAGCAGAAGUUCUACUUCAGCCACAUCAGGCCUGCAAAGAAACUGCGUUUCACAGGCCUUUGUAAGAGAUGUUCCCGGUAGGCUGUAAGAGCACUGUGCAGAGCCAGUUGUUUCUUAGCUUCCCAAAGAGCUGGAAGCAAGAUGCUUUGGGGCCCAACUCGCCCUUUGGAAAGGAGAAUGCACGUUAUGCCUUUCAGCUCUAGGGCAAUGGAGCACACCCUGAGCAGAAGUUCUACUUCAGCCAGAUCAGGCCUGCAAAGAAAGUGCGUUUCACAGGCCUUUGUAAGAGACGUUCCCGAUAGGCUGUAAGAGCACUGUGCAGAGCGAGUUGUUUCUUAGCUUCCCGAAGAGCUGGAAGCAAGAUGCUUUGGGGCCCAACUCGCCCUUUGGAAAGAAGCCUGCACGUUGUGCCUUUCAGCUCUUGGCAAUGGAGCACACCCAGAGCAGAAGUUCUACUUCAGCCAGAUGAGGCCUGCAAAGAAACUGCGUUUCACAGGCCUUUGUAAGAGAUGUUCCCGGUAGGCUGUAAGAGCAUUGUGCAGAGCGAGUUGUUUCUUAGCUUCCCAAAGAGCUGGAAGCAAGAUGCUUUGGGGCCCAACUCGCCCUUGGGAAAGAAGCCUGCACGUUGUGCCUUUCAGCUCUAGGGCAAUGGAGCACACGCACAGCAGAAUUUCCACUUCAGCCACAUCAGGACUGCAAAGAUACUGCAUUUCACAGGCCUAUGUAAGAGAUGUUGCCGGUAGGCUGUAAGAGCACUGGGCAGAGAGAGUUGUUUCUUAGCUUCCCAAAGAGCUGAAAGCAAGAUGCUUUGGGGCCCAACUCGCCCUUUGGAAAGAAGCCUGCACGUUGUGCCUUUCAGCUCUAGGGCAAUGGAGCACACGCAGAGCAGAUGUUCUACUUCAUCCAGAUCAGGCCUGCAAAGAAACUGCGUUUCACAGGCCUUUGUAAGAGAUGUUCCCGGUUGGCUGUAAGAGAGGUGUGCAGAGCGAGUUGUUUCUUAGCUUCCCAAAGAGCUGGAAGCAAGAUGCUUUGGGGCCCAACUCGCCCUUUGCAAAGAAGACAUCACUUUGUGCCUUGCAUCUCUAGGGCAAUGUAGCACAGCCAGAGCAGAAGUUCUACUUCAGCCAGAUCUGGCCUGCAAAGAAACUGCGUUUCACAGGCCUUUGUAAGAGAUGUUCCCUGUAGGCUGUAAGAGCACUGUGCAGAGCGAGUUGUUUCUUAGCUUCCCAAAGAGCUGGAAGCAAGAUUCUUUGAGGCCCAACUCGCCCUUUGGAAAGAAGACUGCACGUUGCGCCUUUCAGCUCUAGGGCAAUGUAGCACACCCAGAGCAGAAGUUCUACUUCAGCCAGAUCAGGCCUGCAAAGAAACUGGGUUUCACAGGCCUUUGUAAGAAAUGUUCCCGGUUGGCUGUAAGAGAGGUGUGCAGAGCGAGUUGUCUCUUAGCUUCCCAAAGAGCUGGCAGCAAGAUGCUUUGGGGCCCAACUCGCCCUUUGGAAAGAAGACAGCACUUUGUGCAUUUCAGCUCUAGGGCAAUGUAGCACACACAGAGCAGAAGUUCUACUUCGGCCAGAUCAAGGCUGCAAAGAAUCUGCAUUUCACAGGCCUUUGUAAGACUCGUUCCCUGUAGGCUGUAAAACACCUGUGCAGAGCAAGUUGCUUCUCAGCUGCCCAAAGAGCUGGAAGCUUGACACUGAGGGACUAGGCUUCCCUUGGGAAAAGAAGGCAGGACUUUGUGCCUUGCAGCUCUAGGGACAUGUAGGACACGGCAGAGCAGAAGUUCUAAUUCACGCAGAUCAGGACUGGGAAGAAUCAGCGUUUCAGAGGCCUUUGUAAGACAUGUUCCAGGUAGGCUGUAAAACACCAGUGCAGAGCAAGUUGUUUCUUAGCUGCCCAUUGAGCUGGAAGCCCCACGGUGUUUGCCCUGACUGCCCUUGAGGACACAAGGCAGGACUUUGUGCCUUGCAGCUCCUGGCCGAUGUAGGACAUGGUAUAGCAGAAGUUCUACUUCAGCGAUAUCAGGCCUCAGAAGAAACUCCGUUGCACAGGCCUUUGUAAGACAUGUUCCCGGUAGGCUGGAAGAGCCCUGUGCAGAGCAACUUG